AGUUUGAUCAUGGCUCAGGAUGAACGCUAGCGGCAGGCCUAAUACAUGCAAGUCGAACGGCAGCACGGGUAGCAAUAUCUGGUGGCGAGUGGCGCACGGGUGCGUAACGCGUAUGCAAUCUACCUUUAACUGGUGAAUAGCCCGAAGAAAUUCGGAUUAAUACACCAUAAUAUAUUAGAGUGGCAUCACUUUAAUAUUAAAACUACGGUGGUUAAAGAUGAGCAUGCGUGACAUUAGCUAGUUGGUGAGGUAAUGGCUCACCAAGGCUACGAUGUCUAGGGGAUCUGAGAGGAUUAACCCCCACACUGGUACUGAGACACGGACCAGACUCCUACGGGAGGCAGCAGUAAGGAAUAUUGGACAAUGGUGGCAACACUGAUCCAGCCAUGCCGCGUGAAGGAUGACGGCCCUAUGGGUUGUAAACUUCUUUUGUACGGGAAAAACCUCUUUACGUGUAAAGAGCUGAUUGUACUGUAAGAAUAAGGAUCGGCUAACUCCGUG
rnacentral:rRNA from 1 species